rnacentral:rRNA from 1 species
AUUGAACGCUGGCGGCAUGCCUUACACAUGCAAGUCGAACGGUAACAGGUCUUCGGAUGCUGACGAGUGGCGAACGGGUGAGUAAUACAUCGGAACGUGCCCGAUCGUGGGGGAUAACGAGGCGAAAGCUUUGCUAAUACCGCAUACGAUCUACGGAUGAAAGCGGGGGAUGUCCGGACCUCGCGCGGCCGGAGCGGCCGAUGGCAGAUUAGGUAGUUGGGGGGAUAAAAGCUUACCAAGCCGACGAUCUGUAGCUGGUCUGAGAGGAUGAUCAGCCACACGGGAACUGAGACACGGCCCAGACUCCUAGGGGAGGCAGCAGUGGGGAAUUUUGGACAAUGGGCGAAAGCCUGAUCCAGCCAUGCCGCGUGCAGGAUGAAGGCCUUCGGGUUGUAAACUGCUUUUGUACGUAACGAAAAGCCUCUUUCUAAUAAAGAGGGGUCAUGACGGUACCGUAAGAAUAAGCACCGGCUAACUACGUG